rnacentral:rRNA from 1 species
GACGAACGCUGGCGGCGUGCUUAACACAUGCAAGUCGAACGGAAAGGCCCGGCUUUUGUGGGGUGCUCGAGUGGCGAAAGGGUGAGUAACACGUGAGGAACCUGCCUUUGACUUUGGGAUAACUUCAGGAAACUGGGGCUAAUACUGGAUAGGAGCUCCUGCUGCAUGGAGGGGGUUGGAAAGUUUCGGCGGUUGGGGAUGGACUCGCGGCUUAUCAGCUUGUUGGUGGGGUCGUGGCUUACCAAGGCUUUGACGGGUAGCCGGCCUGAGACGGUGACCGGCCACAUUGGCACUGCAAUACGGCCCAGCCUCCUACGGGAGGCAGCACUGGGGCAUAUUGCACAAUGGUCGGAAGCCUGAUGCAGCCCCGCCGCGUGCGGGAUGACGGCCUUCGGGUUGUAAACCGCUUUCGCCUGUGACGAAGCGUGAGUGACGGUAAUGGGUAAAGAAGCACCGGCUAACUACGUG